rnacentral:rRNA from 1 species
GAUGAACGCUGGCGGCGUGCUUAACACAUGCAAGUCGAACGAUGAUCCCAGCUUGCUGGGGGAUUAGUGGCGAACGGGUGAGUAACACGUGAGUAACCUGCCCUUGACUCUGGGAUAAGCCUGGGAAACUGGGUCUAAUACCGGAUACGACCAUCUGGCGCAUGUCAUGGUGGUGGAAAGCUUUUGUGGUUUUGGAUGGACUCGCGGCCUAUCAGCUUGUUGGUGGGGAAUGGCCUACCAAGGCGACGACGGGUAGCCGGCCUGAGAGGGUGACCG